GUCGUGUUUGGGUAGCUCAGUUGGUAGAGCAUUUGCCCACGAAAGGCAAAGGUCCCGAGUUCGAGUCUCGGUCCCGGCA
rnacentral:tRNA from 1 species